rnacentral:rRNA from 1 species
UACGUAGGGUGCAAGCGUUGUUCGGAAUUAUUGGGCGUAAAGAGCUCGUAGGCGGUUUGUCGCGUCUGCUGUGAAAGCUCGGGGCUUAACUCCGGGCCUGCAGUGGGUACGGGCAGACUAGAGUGCGGUAGGGGAGACUGGAAUUCCUGGUGUAGCGGUGGAAUGCGCAGAUAUCAGGAGGAACACCGAUGGCGAAGGCAGUUCUCUGGGCCGUAACUGACGCUGAGGAGCGAAAGCGUGGGGAGCGAACAGG